GUGUUCAUUUCAGCAGCACAUAGAUUAAAACUGGAACAAUACAGAGAAGAUUAGCAUGGCCCCUGAGCAAGAAUGACAUGCAAAUUUGUGAAGAACUCCAUAGUUUU